CCUACGGGAGGCAGCAGUGGGGAAUAUUGCACAAUGGGGGAAACCCUGAUGCAGCGACGCCGCGUGAGCGAUGAAGUAUUUCGGUAUGUAAAGCUCUAUCAGCAGGGAAGAAGAUGACGGUACCUGACUAAGAAGCCCCGGCGAACUACGUGCCAGCAGCCGCGGUCAUACGUAGGGGGCAAGCGUUAUCCGGAUUUACUGGGUGUAAAGGGAGCGUAGACGGCGAUGCAAGCCAGAUGUGAAAGCCCGGGGCUCAACCCCGGGACUGCAUUUGGAACUGGGUGGCUGGAGUGUCGGAGAGGCAGGCGGAAUGCCUAGUGUAGCGGUGAAAUGCGUAGAUAUUAGGAAGAACACCAGUGGCGAAGGCGUCCUGCUGGACGAUGACUGACGUUGAGGCUCGAAAGCGUGGGGAGCAAACAGGAUUAGAUACCCCAGUAGUC
rnacentral:rRNA from 1 species